AGGAAGGUAGUGUAGUUAAUAACCUGCAUAUUUGACGUUACCUACAGAAGAAGACACCGGCUAACUACCGUGCCAGCAGCCGCGGUAAUACGGAGGGUGCGAGCGUUAAUCGGAAUUACUGGGCGUAAAGCGCAUGCAGCGGCCUGUUAAGUACAGAUGUGAAAGACCCGGGGCGUUAACCUCGGAAUUGCAUUUGUAAACUGGCAGGCUAGAGUCUUGUAGAGGGGGGUAGGAAGUUUCAGGUGUAGCGGUGAAAUGCGUAGAGAUCUGAAGGAAUACCAGUGGCGAAGGCGGCCCCCUCGGACAAAGACUGACGCUCAGAUGCGAAAGCGUGGGGAGCAAACAGGAUUAGAUACCCCUGGUAG
rnacentral:rRNA from 1 species